rnacentral:rRNA from 1 species
UACGUGGGGGGCAAGCGUUGUCCGGAUUCAUUGGGCGUAAAGAGCGUGUAGGCGGCCAGGUAGGUCGGUUGUGAAAACUGGAGGCUCAACCUUCAGAGGUCGAUCGAAACCAUCUGGCUAGAGUCCGGGAGAGGAGAGUGGAAUUCCUGGUGUAGCGGUGAAAUGCGCAGAUAUCAGGAGGAACACCAAUUGCGAAGGCAGCUCGCUGGGACGUAACUGACGCUGAGACGCGAAAGCGUGGGGAGCAAACAGG